AUAACAAAUGGCUGAUGUCUUAAAUUGUCAUCAAACUCGUUAAAAAAAAAAAUAGAAUUAAAUAAAAGUACGUUAUUCAAGAAAAAACUAAUAAAUCUUUACCCACAAGUUAUGUUAAAUAAUAAAAUAAAAUUAUCAUUCGACUCACUGCGAAAAAGAAAGGAUUGGAGUUCAAUGUGGUAUCUGGAUUGUGUUCGGGGCACUAACUAAUUUUCUGGAUUCUUCUUACAGGAAAUUGAACUGCUUGUUCUUCGGAAAUAGGAUGAUUCUCUUUUUAUUUUAAUAUCACAUACAUUGGAGUACACGCCAAAUUUCAACAAUGAGUAAAGUUAGAAAAAUUCAAAUUUAAAUCAAGGAUUUCUUCCUCAAAAUAACGUUAAAACCUCAAAAGAUGGAUGAAAAAUGUGCUUUAGGAGCUGAACUAUAAUAAUUGAUACAUUUGGAAGUAAACAAAACGGUUUAAGAUAAGAUUUUCACCAACAAAAAAUUUCUCUGUCACAAAUUCUAGGUUAUGUUCUCUCAGUGAACUAAGAGAAUAUUAAAAUUAUUACAAUACA